rnacentral:lncRNA from 1 species
CAUCAACGUGGCUUCUCUCCCCAGCAUUGGAGGGGAUGACAGUCUGAAAUGCAUUUUUGGCAAUUUUGAAAGUGAAGCGAAAGUGGGCGACUCAAAGGUCACUUGUGAUCUGCCGAAAGUCACCGAGAUUCCUGUCACUCCCAAAAAUAAAGAUUUCGUCCAAGUGGCCGCGAAGAUCUUUGUGAAUGACGAGGUGGAGUUGGCGUCCAGCUACUUCACCUUUUAUAACUGCAGCGCAGCCGCGAGGCAGGCGGAGAACACACCGUGCAUGUCGUGUGUGGACAGCGAGUGGAGCUGCCAGUAGAACACUCAGGAAUUCAACAGCGAUGACUCCAUGGGUGAUCACAUUAUCAAACAUAAAGAAGUAAGAAAUGAGGCAGCAGCGGCAUGUCUCACCUAUUCCUGUCUGCCAGGUGUCUUAAAAAUGAAAAAAUGCCCUGUGUUUGACAUUCGCAGGGAAGUAAGUGCCCAGUUUUUGAGAAUCCGACUCCGUCUCUCAUUCCUGUGGGUUACGAAACCUCCAUCGAGUUCACUGGAAAAAACCUCCGUGUUUAUGAGGGCAGAGAUUCAAGAUUGGCACCGAGCUGAUGGUGCCCACUGAGGAAAUGGUCACUAUAAAAGAUUCAAACUACAGUUUAAAGGGAUGCAAGGACCAGUUUGCCUAUGAUGAAACACGAACAGUUGACGUGCUCUUCUACAUCAAGGACAGAAAGACACAUAAGAAGAUUGACAGCAAACUAAACGGUAGGCCUGACAGUCAGACGUGGACUGUUCGGACU